rnacentral:misc_RNA from 1 species
AACCUUAUGGACCUGCGGGCGUAUACCUGCGGAAGGAUCAUUAUUGAAUAAACUUGGUCAAGCUGUUGCUGGUCCUUCGGGGCAUGUGCACGCUUGCCACCAAUUUUGACCACCUGUGCACCUUUUGUAGAUUGGAAACGUUUCUCGAGGCAACUCGGAUUGAGGACUGCUGUGCGCAAGCCAGCUGUUCUUGUGUUUCUCAAUCUAUGUUUUCAUAUACUCCUAAUGUAUGUAUCAGAA